AGGCAGUGAUGAUGAAAAUUAUACCAUCAAACUAUGAAAGCUCUUGAGCUUGUUGAUGCUAAAUUCAUUAAUCUCUGAGCCU
rnacentral:snoRNA from 1 species